rnacentral:tRNA from 1 species
AGCAGUGUGGCUUAGUGGAAAAGAGCAUGGGCUUGGGAGUCAGAGAUCAUAGGUUCUAAUCCUGACUUUGCCA